rnacentral:rRNA from 1 species
UACGUAGGGGGCAAGCGUUGUCCGGAUUUAUUGGGCGUAAAGAGCGUGUAGGCGGCUUCACAGGUCCGCUGUGAAAACUCGAGGCUCAACCUCGAGCUGUCGGUGGAAACCGUGUGGCUAGAGUCCGGAAGAGGAGAGUGGAAUUCCGAGUGUAGAGGUGAAAUUCGUAGAUAUUCGGAAGAACACCAGUGGCGAAGGCGACUUACUGGACGAUUGUUGACGCUGAGGUGCGAAAGCGUGGGGAGCAAACAGG